rnacentral:rRNA from 1 species
AUUGAAUGCUGGCGGCAGGCCUAACACAUGCAAGUCGAGCGUGAAAGUCCUUCGGGAUGAGUAAAGCGGCGGACGGGUGAGUAACGCGUAGGAAUCUACCUAAUAGUGGGGGAUAACGUUUCGAAAGGAACGCUAAUACCGCAUACGUUCUGAGGAAGAAAGCAGGGGAUCGUAAGACCUUGCGCUAUUAGAUGAGCCUGCGUCCGAUUAGCUAGUUGGUGGGUAAAGGCCUACCAAGGCGACGAUCGGUAACUGGUCUGAGAGGAUGAUCAGUCACACUGGAACUGAGACAC